rnacentral:lncRNA from 13 species
AAACACAUCUGGGACCAGGCAAGUGAAAAGCAGGCAAGAGUCUUAUUUACUUUAAAGCUGGAAUCCGUAUUAGGUAAAACUGCCACGUCCUUUUGCAAUUUAUAACAACAAAGAAGUUACUUCAAACAACGAACUUUGAGUUUUUUUCUCCCUCUGAUAUAAUUUCACAUGCAUUAGAACAGCCACUCUGCUGGAUGCUUCUCUCCUCUGUUUCAUCAACAAAACAAAAACAAUAACAAAUGCACUGGGGUGAACAAUGGCACAGUUCACCUUAUGAUUUCAACUGUUAAGGAUUUUAUUUUUAUUUUGUCAAAGCUAACUGGAUUUGCAGGACUGUGAAAUGAACCCAUUACUACAAGAUAACACAUAAUUUACCAUUCCUACACAUUAACCAUAACUCAAACAUUGCUUUUUCUAAGCCUUAACUUUUCGAAAUAAUAUACAUAAAUUGUUCAACUUUUAUACCAAUGUUUGGUAUUUUAUUUAUUGUCAUGUAGCAAACAUUUAUUUAACCUGGCUGAGGUGUGUACUGUAUUGUUCAUCAUGGACUUCCUCAGUACAGGUUGUGUGUAAAAAACAGACAUAGGAAAGUCUGCCCAGUGGAAAAAUGUACGACUGCAACAUCAGCAAAAUCUCCAGUGAGAGGGCAUAACACACACGCAACACAGCUCGGAGUGGAAAAAUUUACGACUGCAACAUCAGCAAAAUCUCCAGUGAGAGGGCAUAACACACACGCAACACAGCUGUGGGAAAGUAUUUUUACACAUAAUAUGAACUUGUGGAGUGUUAUUGUGCUCUGCUUAAAUUUAGCAAAUGUCAUGGAGAAAGCUCAGGAAUAUACAGAAAAGAUGGCGCCGGAGAAGAAGGCAGACGUUUUACGUACCCCCAGCCAAUUGUGUUUUUUUGUUUGUUUAUUUACGUUGUUUGUGACUUAUUUUUUUACUUAUUUUGUACAUAAUGUUGCCGCUACCAUCUCUUAUGACCGAAAAUAACUUCUAGACAUCAGGACUGCGAUACUCACCAAGGACCUUCAGAAUCCUUAUUUUUUUUCACGACUCUGACGAGCCCGAUGUGAAGGAUAUACUGCUUCCUCAGGAACAGGCCCCGAUCCCCCUGAUAUGCGUGAAGAGGAGGUGGAGAAAGAGGGGCCGAAGGGCGGGCUGCCUUCUGAGAAUUCGUAGGCGAUCGAAUAAACCCCCACUUCCCUCCAUUCUGCUAGCAAACGUGCAAUCAUUGGAGAAUAAAAUCGCAGAGUUACGCGGAAGAUUAAACUACCAACGGGACAUUAAAA